AGCUCCGAGUGUGAUAUUUGAAUUGCAAAUUCAGAGAAGCAGCCUCAAACGCUGCCGGGGCUU
rnacentral:tRNA from 1 species